rnacentral:rRNA from 1 species
UACGUAGGGUGCGAGCGCUGUCCGGAAUUACUGGGCGUAAAGAGCUCGUAGGUGGUUUGUCGCGUUGUUCGUGAAAACUCACAGCUCAACUGUGGGCGUGCGGGCGAUACGGGCAGACUGGAGUACUGCAGGGGAGACUGGAAUUCCUGGUGGUAGCGGUGGAAUGCGCAGAUAUCAGGAGGAACACCGGUGGCGAAGGCGGGUCUCUGGGCAGUAACUGACGCUGGGGAGCGAAAGCGUGGGGAGCGAACGAGG